rnacentral:pre_miRNA from 10 species
GUGUGUGUGUGUGUGUGUGUGUGCGUGUGUGUCUGGCCACAGUGUACCGCAGUGCGACUCUUCAACACACACACAC